rnacentral:rRNA from 1 species
AUACGUAUGUCGCAAGCGUUAUCCGGAAUUAUUGGGCGUAAAGCGAGUCUAGGCGGCUUGUUAAGUCAGAUGUGAAAAUGCGGGGCUCAACUCCGUAUUGCGUUUGAAACUGGCAGGCUAGAGUACUGGAGAGGUGGGCGGAACUACAAGUGUAGAGGUGAAAUUCGUAGAUAUUUGUAGGAAUGCCGAUAGUGAAGACAGCUCACUGGACAGAUACUGACGCUAAAGCUCGAAAGCGUGGGGAGCGAACAGGAUUAGAAACCCUGGUAGUCC